rnacentral:misc_RNA from 1 species
UUUUUUUUUUUUUUUUGAAAUGGGGUAUCUUGGUGUUGAUUGAGGACAAGUUUGAAAAUUUGCUGGAGUUGAUGUUGUGGAACUUUGGAGGAGUGAGGGAGGGGUAGUGAAAGAGAUGAAGAAGAAUGUUGUACAAUAGCAGUCACUGAUGUUGUAAUGGAAAAAUUCACAGCAAAAUUGAAUUUAUUUGUUUGUAAAAUGAAAAGUUCACUGCUUUUAAAAUGUUUUUUU